ACCUCUGUUAGGGACUGUGUGGGGUGUAGCAGAAAGGAUGCAGACUACUGGCUCUCAGAGGAUUGCUACCUGGUGAGAGUGGACACACAAGAGAGCCUGAGAGCUUUAACUGAGAGUUGAAGUUAUUCUGGAGGAGGAAGAAGUGGUCAUGAAUUAAAAUGGAUAUCCAACUGUUCCAUGAGGCAACGAAUGGGGAUUUUACAUAUUAAAUCAGCAUUGUCUGCUGGAGCUCUCUGCUACCUGGGAAGGCUCUGCAUUUGGGCUGUCAAAGCCACAAGCUCAGACAAUGAAGAUGGCAAACUGAAGUCUUCCUCUAUAGGCACAACUUUGCAUCAGACAUUUGAUGGGAGAGGUCCAUCUUUGAAGGGAAGUUUUAUUUAAGUCUGUCCCUGGAUCCACAUCAUCCGUACGUCUGUCUACAGGGCAAAAAACUUCAUCUUUCAUGAGUGCAAUUUCAAACUUGGUGCCAACGAGAGACAUCUUCCCUGGACUCAAAUGCGCGAAGCCUGAACAGGACAUCUUGAGUGUUAGCUUCUCUGGGAUGGCUGCGGUGUGCAGCACAUUUUUGUUAAGGUGUUAUUCAAAGUUUCUGAUUAACAUAAGUUUUUCUUAAAAUUAUACAAAAACAUAAUACCAUGAUUAUGGAAAUAAAAAGCCACCCACAAGCUUACUAUCUUUACAAACCA
rnacentral:lncRNA from 1 species